AGCAGCCGCGGUAAUUCCAGCUCCAAUAGCGUAUAUUAAAGUUGUUGCAGUUAAAAAGCUCGUAGUUGAAUUUCGGGGUCAGUAGGUUGGUCAUGCCACUGGUAUGUACUGGUCUCACUGAUUCCUCCUUCCUGAUGAACUGUAAUGCCAUUAAUUUGGUGUUGCAGGGAAUCUGGACUGUUACUUUAGAAAAAAUUAGAGUGUUUAAAGCAGGCUAACGCCUGAAUACAUUAGCAUGGAAUAAUGAAAUAGGACGUUCGAUCCUAUUUUGUUGGUUUCUAGGAUUGACGUAAUGAUUAAUAGGGAUAGUUGGGGGCAUUAGUAUUCAAUUGUCAGAGGUGAAAUUCUUGGAUUUAUUGAAGACUAACUACUGCGAAAGCAUUUGCCAAGGAUGUUUUCAUUAAUCAAGAACGAAAGUUAGGGGAUCGAAGACGAUCAGAUACCGUCGUAGUCUUAACCAUAAACUAUGCCGACUAGGGAUCGGAUGAUGUUAAUUUUUUAAUAGUACUCAUUCGGUCG
rnacentral:rRNA from 1 species